UACGUAGGGGGCUAGCGUUGUCCGGAUUUAUUGGGCGUAAAGAGCGUGUAGGCGGCCAGGUAGGUCUGCUGUGAAAACUCGAGGCUCAACCUCGAGACGUCGGCGGAAACCAUCUGGCUAGAGUCCGGAAGAGGAGUGUGGAAUUCCUGGUGUAGCGGUGAAAUGCGCAGAUAUCAGGAAGAACACCUAUGGCGAAGGCAGCACUCUGGGACGGUACUGACGCUGAGACGCGAAAGCGUGGGGAGCGAACAGG
rnacentral:rRNA from 1 species